UGGGGAAUAUUGGUCAAUGGGCGGAAGCCUGAACCAGCCAUGCCGCGUGCAGGAAGACGGCCUUCUGGGUUGUAAACUGCUUUUAUACAGGAGUAAAAUGGCUCUGCGGAGCGGAUUGCAAGUACUGUAUGAAUAAGCACCGGCUAACUCCGUGCCAGCAGCCGCGGUAAUACGGAGGAUGCGAGCGUUGUCCGGAUUUAUUGGGUUUAAAGGGUGCGUAGGCGGUUAUUUAAGUCAGUGGUGAAAACCCUGAGCUCAACUGAGGGCUUGCCAUUGAUACUGGGUAACUUGAUUACCGUAUAGGUAGGCGGAAUUUAUGGUGUAGCAGUGAAAUGCAUAGAUACCAUAAAGAACACCGAUAGCGAAGGCAGCUUACUGGACGUGUAAUGACGCUGAUGCACGAAAGCGUGGGUAGCGAACGGGAUUAGAUACCCCUGUAGUCC
rnacentral:rRNA from 1 species